UUAUCUUUCAUUGUGACUGUUAUUGCCACCAUUCAUUUCAACCCCAACCGGCCCGUCAGACAUCGCCUACCAAGAGCCUGGGUCUGUCCGAGGUUUCUUCCUGAAGGGAAGUUUUUCCUCGCCACUCUCACACUUGCUGCUUGCUCUUGAGGGAAAUAUUAGAACUGUUGGAAUUUUUGGGGCUG